rnacentral:rRNA from 1 species
GUUUGAUCCUGGCUCAGGAUGAACGCUGGCGGCGUGCUUAACACAUGCAAGUCGAACGAGAACGUGCUCUUCGGAGUGCUAGUAAAGUGGCGAACGGGUGAGUAACACGUGACCAACCUUCCUCUCACAUUGGGAUACCUCAAAGAAAUUUGAGCUAAUACCAAAUACUCCGUUUCCUUCGCAUGAAGGUUACGGGAAAGCUCAGGCGGUGAGAGAUGGGGUCGCGGCCUAUUAGGUAGUUGGUGGGGCAACGGCCUACCAAGCCUACGAUAGGUAGCCGGGUUGAGAGACUGAUCGGCCACAUUGGGACUGAGAUACGGCCCAGACUCCUACGGGAGGCAGCAGUGGGGAAUUUUGCGCAAUGGGGGUUGGCCCUGACGCAGCAACGCCGCGUGCGGGAUGAAGGCCUUCGGGUUGUAAACCGCUUUCAGCAGGGACGAUCGUGACGGUACCUGCAGAAGAAGCUCCGGCUAACUACGUGCCAGCAGCCGCGGUAAUACGUAGGGAGCAAGCGUUAUCCGGAUUUAUUGGGCGUAAAGCGCUCGUAGGCUGCUCGUCAAGCAAGGCUUUAAACCUGGGGGCUUAACCUCCAGUCGGGCUUUGAACUGGCGGGCUCGAGUUGGGUAGAGGAAGAUGGAAUUCCCAGUGGAGCGGUGGAAUGCACAGAUAUUGGGAAGAACACCGAUGGCGAAGGCAGUCUUCUGGGCCUUUAACUGACGCUGAGGAGCGAAAGCUAGGGGAGCGAACAGGAUUAGAUACCCUGGUAGUCCUAGCCGUAAACGAUGGGCACUAGGUGUGGGGAUGAAUUUUCUCCGUGCCGCAGCAAACGCAUUAAGUGCCCCGCCUGGGGAGUACGGCCGCAAGGCUAAAACUCAAAGGAAUUGACGGGGGCCCGCACAAGCAGCGGAGCAUGUGGCUUAAUUCGAAGCAACGCGAAGAACCUUACCAGGUCUUGACACUCAGAUGAAGCGGUAGAAAUACCGUGGCCGAAAGGAGUCUGAACAGGUGGUGCAUGGCUGUCGUCAGCUCGUGUCGUGAGAUGUUGGGUUAAGUCCCGCAACGAGCGCAACCCUUGUUACAUGUUACCAGCAUUAAGUUGGGGACUCAUGCAAGACUGCCGGCGUCAAGCCGGAGGAAGGUGGGGAUGACGUCAAGUCAUCAUGCCCCUUAUGACCUGGGCUGCACACGUGCUACAAUGGCCGGUACAACGAGCUGCGAACGCGUAAGCGCAAGCGAAUCUCUUAAAGCCGGUCCCAGUUCGGACUGAAGGCUGCAAUUCGCCUUCACGAAGUCGGAGUUGCUAGUAAUCGCGGAUCAGCACGCCGCGGUGAAUACGUUCCCGGGCCUUGUACACACCGCCCGUCACACCACCCGAGUCGUCCGCACCCGAAGUCGCCAGCCUAACCUUUUGGAGGGAGGCGCCGAAGGUGUAGAGGGUAAGGGGGGUGAAGUCGUAACAAGGUA